rnacentral:rRNA from 1 species
UACGGAGGGUGCAAGCGUUAUCCGGAUUUAUUGGGUUUAAAGGGUGCGUAGGCGGAAAUGUAAGUCAGUGGUGAAAUCUUGCAGCUUAACUGUAAAACUGCCAUUGAUACUGCGUUUCUUGAGUAUAGUUGAGGUAGGCGGAAUGUGUAAUGUAGCGGUGAAAUGCUUAGAUAUUACACAGAACACCGAUUGCGUAGGCAGCUUACUAAACUAUAACUGACGCUGAGGCACGAAAGCGUGGGUAGCGAACAGG